rnacentral:lncRNA from 1 species
AGAGAAAGAGGAAGGAUCUGUUUUGUCUUUUAGCUUUGCAAGUGAAAGUCAUAAGAUUCACUCUGCAACGGCAGGCUUAUGUCGUACACCCAAAUGGAAAUUGAGAACCAUGGGGAACCACAAACAGAAACUGGGACUAAUAGGGAGAGGAGAAAUGGAAGCUGUGAAGACAGUCUGGAAUAAUUGACACCUGACGUUAUGGCGCAGGGGAAGUGACCUAGAAGUGGAUACUUACAAAUGGACAGCUCUCGAAAGAAAUCACUUACAGAAUCCCUGCAAAUUCAUGGAUCCCAGACUCCAAAUACUUGAGUAAGAUUCCAGUCCUAUUUCCCUUAACCUAAACUUUACUCAGGGUUCCAUGACACUGCCGUUAUUGUACUAUAAAGUUGAAAGCUACUAUGAAGGAAAAAAGAAGUGGCUUAUUCUAAGAGAGCAUGUCAUUAGUCUUAAAUAGAAGGGAAUAAAGAAGUUUAGAGAACAUGAUAUGGGUACA